GAUAAUUGAAUAUUUUUGCCAUGUCAAUAGGUAGCACUUUUAUUGAUCUCUUUUAUAUAUUGUAGUGAAGUGAAGUGAUUUAUGUAUUAUGAAACUUAUAUGUCCUUAAUUUCUUGUCAUGUCAUACUACACCUCUAACUCAUUUUUAUACUGUCAACCUACCUCCAUACCAUAUCACACUACUUGUACAGAGAAAGUAUGGUCUGCUAUGACACCUGAUCUAUAAUUGCACCAUAUCACUUAUCUUGUUUUUUUUAAUCUAUAUACUAUGUACUCUACAAUUUUACUACUCCACACACACACACACACACAUAUAUUAUUUAUUUAUUUAUUAGAAAAAUGGUCUCUAUUUUAUAUUUUACAAAGGCAGUAUGGCUCUAAUGGACAGGUAACCUGACUGCACCAUAUCACAUUAACUUCCUAUUCAUCUUUUUAUUUUAAUUAAUUUAACAUCGUACUAUUACUCAAGUUUCUAAAAAAAAAAAAGUUGAACCCCAACCUUGAGGGCCCUCACCGUCCCGUC
rnacentral:lncRNA from 1 species